CUGGCCCCGCCCCCACCGCCGGCGGGCGCCGCGCUGGGUCUCGCGGGAGCGGCGGGCCGGUAUUUAAGGCCCCGGGAGGCGCCACGUUCUCCUUUUCCCUGCCGGCCGCUCCCGCGUGUGUGGCGCGGGCCGCACGCGUCCCUGUGGCGGCCGCCCGGCAGGGAGGAAGGCGGCAGAAAGCGUCCCAAGGUACCGGCAAGGCCUUCAAAUGGCCCCGAAGGGGUUUGUCCGCCGGCCUGCCGCGCUUGGCUUCUGCCGAAGCCGCAGGAGGCAAAGCACUGUAGGCCAUGCCAGUGGGAAGCUCUGGCGAGCUGGAGUCGUGCCUUCACACCCAUAGAGAUGCUAUUUAGCAACUUCAUGUUAGAAAUAUUCUAAAUGUGGAUGAUCACACCUCAAUUAGAAGCAAUGCUUGGGACUUAGGAAUGGACACUACCUUCUGCUACAAGGUUUCUCAAGUGUGCUGGUGCUUUAUGAACCCAUGUGAUAAACAUCUUGAGUGAGAAGUGUCCCUUGUAAAUUUGUUCAUUUCCAGGAAGGAAACCAGCAUAUAUGAGCAAUUUGAACUGAUAUUAAACAUCAGAUCAUGAUUUCAUGAGUGGCUGAUUUCUGAAUUCAUACUAGAUGACUCCAGUUGUCACCUGUAAUGUAUUGUCUUGGAAGUGGAAUUGAGACAAGCAAUGGCUAAAACUACACAUCUUCCACGAUCAUGUUUAAACAGGAACCUCGCCAUUUGUUGAAAUGGGUUUCUUAAUAGAAAUUGCUGUAACAUUUCUAUGUGCAUGGAUUGAAAUAAAAUAUGAGAAUGGUA